GUAUUAAAGGUGUUGCCUGCCCAGUGAAACAAUUUAAACGGCCGCGGUAUCCUAACCGUGCAAAGGUAGCGUAAUCACUUGUCUUCUAAAUAAAGACUCGUAUGAAAGGCUAAAUGAAGACGAAACUGUCUCUUAUAGUUGACCAGUUAAACUGAUCUUCAAGUACAAAAGCUUGAAUAAACACAUAAGACGAGAAGACCCUGUGGAGCUUAAAACUAAUACUAUAAAACAAAUAGCAUAAGUUUUAAGUUGGGGCGACUUCGGAAUAAAACAAAACUUCCGAGCACAGAGCCACCCACUCUAACUUAGACCAACAAGUCAAAGAACAAUAACCGACCCAGUCAUACUGAACAACGAACCAAGUUACCCCAGGGAUAACAGCGCCAUCUUCUUCAAGAGUUCAUAUCGACAAGAAGGUUUACGACCUCGAUGUUGGAUCAGGACACCCAAAUGGUGCAGCAG
rnacentral:rRNA from 1 species